rnacentral:rRNA from 1 species
CGAACGCUGGCGGCAUGCCUAAUACAUGCAAGUCGAACGAGAUCUUCGGAUCUAGUGGCGCACGGGUGCGUAACGCGUGGGAAUCUGCCCUUGGGUUCGGAAUAACUUCUGGAAACGGAAGCUAAUACCGGAUGAUGACGUAAGUCCAAAGAUUUAUCGCCCAAGGAUGAGCCCGCGUAGGAUUAGCUAGUUGGUGGGGUAAAGGCCCACCAAGGCGACGAUCCUUAGCUGGUCUGAGAGGAUGAUCAGCCACACUGGGACUGAGACACGGCCCAGACUCCUACGGGAGGCAGCAGUAGGGAAUAUUGGACAAUGGGCGAAAGCCUGAUCCAGCAAUGCCGCGUGAGUGAUGAAGGCCUUAGGGUUGUAAAGCUCUUUUACCCGGGAUGAUAAUGACAGGACCGGGAGAAUAAGCUCCGGCUAACUCCGU